CCUACGGGAGGCAGCAGUGGGGAAUAUUGCACAAUGGGGGAAACCCUGAUGCAGCGACGCCGCGUGAGUGAAGAAGUAUUUCGGUAUGUAAAGCUCUAUCAGCAGGGAAGAAAAUGACGGUACGUGAUUAAGAAGCCCCGGCCAACUACGUGCCAGCAGCCGCGGGAAUACGUAGGGGGCCAGCGUUAUCCGGAUUUAAUGGGUGUAAAGGGAGCGUAGACGGCAGCACAAGUCUGGAGUGAAAUGCCGGGGCUUAACCCCGGAACUGCUUUGGAAACUGUGCAGCUAGAGUGCAGGAGAGGUAAGUGGAAUUCCUAGUGUAGCGGUGAAAUGCGUAGAUAUUAGGAGGAACACCAGUGGCGAAGGCGGCUUACUGGACUGUAACUGACGUUGAGGCUCGAAAGCGUGGGGAGCAAAUAGGAUUAGAUACCCGAGUAGUC
rnacentral:rRNA from 1 species